ACAGAAUUAGAACUGGUGUGGGAGGCUAUAAUGACAAUAUGAAGGCAUGAAGACUACUGGGUGAAAAAAAUUAGACAUGCUCGUGCGGCCAAGAGUAAAAUAUGACCCACUUACUUAGGUGUCCAAAUAGCAUACACACUACACUUGUGGGUGGACUGACUCUGGAGCAUGCCACAUAAAUGAGUCUCUGGGAAAAAUAAUCUUCUCUUACGUCGAACCCUAUAAUUUUUAAGAUUUGAUCUUGGGAUUUAUUUAUUGUCAUAGCAAAACAUUCGUUGACAGGAAACUGCAUUCUUUUUAAUUGGAAUGGAUAAUCUGAUGGUACCAUUGGUAUACGAGGAAUAAAAACUAAUUCAUCUUUUGCAGAUGCAGUAAUAAUUUCAGCUUCUAUCAGAAUUUCUGAGGAUCAGUUAUACAUAGACGUUUCUCAAUAUUGGAGGGUUAGAUUUCUUAAAAGCAUUAUAGGAGUACCAAUUUUUGCUUUUAAUAAAUGUGGUGGAAACCCUGGAGGGAUGAACGAAUUGAGAAAUUCAACUUCAUAAUUAACUGCAUCAUCUACUACCAAUAGUGAAUUCACUGAUCUAUAUUCCAUAUUUUUUGCUUGGAAAGAGUCCAAUAAUAUUUUAUUUAUUUCUCCUGUUACAUCAUUUUUUUAAUGUCAAAAUGCCCCUUUCACAUAACCAGUCCAAUGAUAUUUCUUUGAGGUUUUCAAUUCCAGGAUAUAUUUUAUCAGUAAGUUCAUUUAAAGUUUUUACAUUAGUACCUAUUCUUGUAGACAAAUUAAUUUUUUCUUUACGUUCUGAAUAUUUUCUAUCUCUUGUUUUUAAGAGUAGCCCAAAAAACUUCAGCAGUCCUGUUUCCUUUUAAAUGUAUUCGCAUUUAUUUUUGUUAAUGAAAAUUUUUCUGUUUGAAGGCCACGCAUAUGAAAACUUUAUGUUUGCUUCAAUUUCAUUAAAGUUCUUCGAGUUCCUCUAGAUACGACUAGUAGUGUUUGUCGAAAAUCUCCAGCUAGCAAUACUUUGACUCCUCCCAUCAAUAAAUUUUAAUUAUUCAGAUUCUUCAGACUGUUGUUUAAAACCUCGAACACAUUCUUUUGGGACAUAGGACUUUCAUUCCAAACUAUGAGCUUGUAUUCUUUCAGACCUUUCACCAUAUUAGAUUGUUUAAUAAUAUUAUACGUUGAAGUAUCAAUGUUGUUUAGAUUGAAUGGUGACUUGAAAGCAGAAUGAGUAACUUUUCCGCCAUGUAAAAUGGAGCAGAAAUUCCUGAUGAUGCAGCAGCAAUUUCGAUCCUAUAUGAGUUUCUUACUUUAAUCAGAAGUACAUUGUUUAAGUGGGUAUUACAAGUUCCACUAGGAUCAUUUAAAAAUAUAAUUUUGCCUUAAUUUAAUUUGAUACUAUUCAGUGUUUCUUUGUAAACAAACUACUGUUCCUCAAUCAAAGAUGUUUUAUUUUGCAAAACAAUUUCGUAUAAAGCAUUUAAAUCAUAGAUUGUUUCUUUUAAAUAUUCUCUAUUGUCUAAC